rnacentral:piRNA from 1 species
UCCCAUUAUCCAUAGCCAGAAGUAUUCAA